rnacentral:antisense_RNA from 1 species
UUACCGAGCAAGAGAUUACGACUUAACACCUAAAAUCUCAAGAGAUCCUCAAUACAAAUUGAUGUAAACUUCAGAAGAACCAACGUUCUAACUCCAGGUGAUGCUGCCAACUUACUGAUUUAGUGUAUGAUGGUGUUUUUGAGGUGCUCCAG